UGUUGGGUGUCUUUGCCAUGACAUGUUCGAGGCUAAGCAGCCAAGGGAGGAUGCCUGGAAAAUUGCAAGCUACGUCAAUACUUGUACAGAGAGAUGCGCCAUGAAAAACUGAUGAUAAUCGCCUAUGAACGAAAUUAUAAUAAAAGGCCUUCAAUUACAUUUAGCCUGAAUGAAAAAACCAUAAUUUGAUUGUUGUUGUAUUUUCAAUUUUAUAUUUACUAAAGUAGUAUGAAAAAAAAACAGUAAUAAUACAAUUAUUGCGGUGACCCAAGAAUCAUGUGAUGUUCCUUGUUUGUUGUUUUUGUUGGAUCCUUCAUGUUAUAUUAUUUAAUUGUUUUCCUUAUUUUUGAAGGAUUUUAUAUGCUAAAUGCACCCAAGAAUUUCUUGAUUACUUGUUGUUAUGAGUGCACAGCGCCAAGGCUUCGAGUAUUAUACAAACAAAUAUAUCUCAAUUACAUCUAUUUAUAUGUAAAAAUAAGUUCUAAAUCUAUUAAUUGGUUCAAUA